GACAGAGGCCUCGAGCGUUAGGCGGAAUCACUGGGCUUAAAGCGUGUGUAGGCGGCCCCGUAAGUACCUUGUGAAAUCCCACGGCUCAACCGUGGAACGGCUGGGUAUACUGCGGGUCUUGGGCCAACUAGGGGCAGCCGGAACAAGCGGUGGAGCGGUGAAAUGCGUAGAUAUCGAGAGGAACACCGGUGGCGAAGGCGGCCUUCUGGACAGUGACUGACGCUGAGACGCGAAAGCGUGGGGAGCAAACAGG
rnacentral:rRNA from 1 species